UGACGAAGGGGGCUAGCGUUGCUCGGAAUCAGCUGGGCGUAAAGGGUGCGUAGGCGGUGCGGUAAGUCUGUAGUGAAAUCUCUGGGCUCAACUCAGAGUCUGCUAUAGAAACUGCCGUGCUUGAGUGUGGGAGAGGUGAGUCGGAAUUCCGGUGUAGCGGUGAAAUGCGUAGAUAUCGGGAGGAACACCUGUGGCGAAAGCGGCUCACUGGACCACAACUGACGCUGAGGCGCGAAAGCUAGGGGAGCAAACAGG
rnacentral:rRNA from 1 species